CGGACGGGUGAGUAACGCGUGGGUAACCUGCCUUGUACUGGGGGACAACAGUUGGAAACGACUGCUAAUACCGCAUAAGCGCACAGCUUCGCAUGAAGCAGUGUGAAAAACUCCGGUGGUACAAGAUGGACCCGCGUCUGAUUAGCUGGUUGGUGAGGUAACGGCCCACCAAGGCGACGAUCAGUAGCCGGCCUGAGAGGGUGAACGGCCACAUUGGGACUGAGGCACGGCCCAA
rnacentral:rRNA from 1 species